rnacentral:lncRNA from 1 species
ACUUCCUUCACUUGGUGGUGAUGUGUUGGAGAAAACCUAAAAUGUGUGAUAAAAAACAUUUGUUUCAAACUGAAAAUUGAUCAAAGUGGGUGGUGGUGAUGCAAAGAAGCUCUGCUAUGCAGUAUAAAUUAGCAGCAAUUAUAGUUCUGUAAGGAGCUGAUAAGCCAAAUCUAGUCCACAGAAUAGUUCCGUUUGCAUGUGACCUCUUCCUAAGAUGAAAUAAAAACAAAAAAAUCCCCUAAAAUCCAGAGACUGUAUGCACACAGAGAGCACAUGCUCAGAACCAGUUAUCAGCUCUAGCCAUUAAAGCGAUUUCUUUGAAAUGCUACCAACAGAGAGAUGUGAUGAUCUCCAAAGAGUUGGCAUAAAAUUAAGAAGCACAAGCAUAGGAAACCCUGAGACCUCCGCAGUGUGCUGUUGAGAAAUGUCUGUUGACUGUGAGGAACCUGGUGAGAGACACCAUUUAGUUUCUAGGUGGUAGAAACCGAAGCCUACUGUUUGUUGAGGAAAGCUGUCUUUGCCACUCCUGCAGAGGUGACGUGUGAUAACAUCUGCAAGGGGACACAAUGUCCAUAUGGGGAUGUUGACAAACAUAGCUUACCGGUAUCCCUGUCUCAAAUGGGCUCAUCUGGAAACAUCAGAGACACUUUGGAAUUGGAGCUUUCUGAAAACUGGGAAUGGGGAAUAAAGGAAUGGAACAUGGAAUACAAAUGGAAGCUCAUUAUCUAGGCAACUUCUUUAGAGACACAAAUGAAAAAGUCCAGAAAGAGCUGGAUGCUGUGCUGGGUUCAUCCCAUCUAAUCUGCUGUGAGGACUGGAAGAAACUGCGUUACACAAAUGCUGUGAUUCAUGAGAUCAUGCACUAUGGCCACCGUGUGUGUCUGGGAGAGGUGCUGGCAAGGAUGGAGCUUUUCAUCAUCUUCUGCAACCUGCUGCAGACAUUCAAGUUCACCCCACCAGAAGGAGUUAAGGAAGUCACCAUGUGGAUUAUCUUCGGGAGCACAAUGAAACCCCAUCCGUAUAAGAUCUGUGCGGUUCUUCUCUAGGUUCCAAUGUAUCACACAUCGGAGGGAGAGGCGUUUCCACAGGUUUGCUAGUGUGAUGAUCUUUUGUGUGGCUUUAAUGUUCUUCAUUUCUAGCACAAAUUCAGUGUGAAUCUAUCCCUGUCAUGUCAYGUGUCAAAGAAGCAGGCACUGCAAAAUACUCUGGCUUCACUUUGCAUUUAGAAAAUCUCUCUCUCUUUUUCUGUUGUAUUGUGAAUGAAAUAAAGAUAGAAAAUAAUUGCA